UUCAUGUGGUUCGAGGAGAGACGGUCUUCCUAGUUCGUUCGGCGGCGGCUGGGACGGUCCUCCAAGCUCGGGUUGGUCGAGACCGAGAUGGCGGCUCGUCACAUGGACGUAAGCGAGACGGUACCUCGUCGUUCAACCGUGACGGAAUGCAGCGAAGUGAACGCCGAAACGCUGGAGAACCAACCAAGGAAAGACCAAAGUUAUCUCUGAAACCCCAAAAUUUCCCAAUGGAAGAGAGUCCCCACAGCGGCGUAAAGUGGCUAAAAAUUCACACGGCGAAGAAUGCUUAAAAGUGACAAGGGAUGUAAGACGGCCAUCUUUUCCGUUCAUAGGAAACACGAUGUUUCGAAAAUUUUGGAGGAGCGGAAACCGCCUCUUCGUGGACGUGAAACUCAUCACCAAGAUGAUAGAAAUCAACGGGAUAAUCCCCAUGACAGUGGUGGCCGUUCCUCUGAACAUCCCAGUGGAGGGCGCGGGCGUUCUAACAAGGGAGAGAAGACGGACGAUCGACGAAACUAUCGCAAUGACAAUCAAGAUCUUUAGCGCCCAGCACGUGAUGGUCCUGGCUACUCUGGCGAUUCGCGACAGGCGCCUAGAGAUGGAGAAUAUCGGCCGCCGCAUAGGUCGACCGCCGAUCCUAACGAAUACCGUCCGCUAGCCGGAGGCUGAGGGAAACAGCGGUGGAGGAAACUAUUAUCGUCCUCCUCUCCCGUUAGAGAUGGCGACUAUCGUCCACCUCGAGGCGAUAAUUCACGCAAUACGCAAAGAGAAUGGAUUGUCUUGUGGUGGUGGAGCUGGAAUUUACCGCGCUUCCGCCUCGCGUGGAACUGGGCCCAGCAAUGAAAGGUUUCUAUUCGUUUAGACUGAAGGACGCGCAGUCGUGACGAUCACAGCGGAGACAGACGCCGCUCGGCGUCUGCUUCUUCUCCAUCCAGCGUGGAUGAAGUUCGAAGAUUGGAAAAGCCCAAAGCGCCCCAAAAAGUUUGCAAACCUGCUGGCCGAGGAUGAAGGUGCCGACGGAUCAGACAGCCGAGAUGAACUGAGAAAAGUAAAGGAAGAUGCAAAGUGUUAAGGACCAAAAGGUGCAUCGAAAAAUGCUACUGCUGCGUGUCGGGUUAUCGGUUAUCGGCGUUGGAGAUUAAUCGUGCAGCAUGCAGCUGUAUCUUCCGGUUAUGGGUGUCGAAAGCGCUCGUCGAUCCGAUGGGGGGUAAAAUGACGGGGGUUUUGAACAUUCAUCCCUCGCGCAUUUGGAUUCGAAACGAUAAGUGACGUUUUUUUACACAAAUUACGACGAAUAUGAUCAAGUAGAAAAUAAUUUAAAUGUGUUGUAGUGGGAAAAUGCAUAUUCAAAGUCUUUGAAAUCAAUUUCAAAUCUACCUGUGAAUGUAUGGACAGCGGGAGAUGGAUCGAAUAUUGUUUAGCCAUUAGUCUGGGACAAUAGGCAAACAGCCGCUAGAAGUUUAUUUAUUUUUUUUUUUAGUUUUCUCUCCUUUUUUUCCAAAUUUAUCGAGAUCAAACUCGUGAUAGAUGGGGGGAAACCGAUCGAUGUCUCCCUCCCAGAGCAACUGCUCUCUUAUAAUCACCUUUUUUCUUUGAACGGGAAGGACUCGGUUUGAUCAAAAGUGAAUUUGGGUAAAUUCACACACAAAUAUAAUGAGAUCGUUUCCCGGUAUCAAACGCUUGGACACUUAUUAAUUCUCCUUAUUCCCCCCCCCCUUUGUAGCCAUGUUAUUGGUCUCUACACAACGACACUAAACAAUUCUGUGCAUUUAAUCCUAUAGACUAUAGUGUAGUUUAGUUUUCUUUAAGAUUUUAUUCCUUUAUACAACUGCGAAAAGUCACACUUCACGCAAUUUUCUAACGCCAUUUUUGUUCGUUUUUAGGAGCCUUCUAUCACCAGUGCUUUAACCCGCCCGGAAACAAACUACCGAAUAGGAAAGAAAUUAAUACGAAAAGGCGAUUCAAGUCUUUAAUAUGAGCAUGAGCAGAAAACCUGGUUGCACUCCGCAAGAAGGAUCACAGAGAUCAAGAUGUCCACGGUGGCUCGGGCCGCUAAACCAAGCAUCGGUUAAUACGAGACUAGUGACUUGGAAACAAUUUUAGUACAAGUUUUUACGCUUUUCUUAUGCUAAGAUGUCAAUUUUUUUACGAAUAAUCAGCCAAUAAUGGUCGUUUUUUCCAUUAAAACUGCCAAGAUUGUUUGGGCGGUGGAUUUCGUUUACUUGGGUACCUUUUAUCUUCCAUUUUAACCAGGUCGUUUGCCGACGUGGAAAAUAGCAAACUGUCAAAUCCAUUACGGUAUGCAUAUUUGAUAGAAUUUCUCAAUUACUGGAUCUACAUUUUGU
rnacentral:misc_RNA from 1 species